GGGGAAUUUUGGACAAUGGGGGCAACCCUGAUCCAGCCAUUCCGCGUGAGUGAAGAAGGCCUUCGGGUUGUAAAGCUCUUUUGUCCGGAACGAAACGGUGAACGUGAAUAUCGUUCGCUACUGACGGUACCGGCGGAAUAAGCUCCGGCUAACUACGUGCCAGCAGCCGCGGUAAUACGCAGGGAGCAAGCGUUGUUCGGAUUUACUGGGCGUAAAGGGCGCGUAGGCGGCAAUUCAAGUCAUCUGUGAAAUCUCCGGGCUUAACUCGGAACGGUCAGAUGAUACUGUUUUGCUAGAGUGCAGAAGGGGCAAUCGGAAUUCUUGGUGUAGCGGUGAAAUGCGUAGAUAUCAAGAGGAACACCUGAGGUGAAGACGGGUUGCUGGGCUGACACUGACGCUGAGGCGCGAAAGCCAGGGGAGCAAAC
rnacentral:rRNA from 1 species